GGGGAGCAGGAAGGAAACAGCCGCGGCGUAGUCUCUUUCUGCUCCUUUAUUUCACUUCGCGAGAGUAUUAGAAGUGCCGAUACAAGAGUUCAAAGACCGUGGUUUUCGCGAGUGUGUUGAGUGCCACGGAGAGGAUGCUCAUCGUUGACGGAGACUGCUAUGCAUGAUCUUCAAUUACAUCCCUAACUACUUUUCUAGUUGCAUUUUCAACUACAUUUCCAGUUAUACUUCCUUCAUCAUGAUCUUUAAGAAUCUCACCUACAUCUCCAGCUACACACAUCUCCAGCUACAUCUUCAACUACGUUUGCAGCUACAUUUUCUUCGUCAUGAUCAACUUUGUGCGCGUAAUCGGUGCUACAAAAUAUAUUC